CUCCUUGUAGCUCGACUGGUUCCAGCGCCACGCCCCUACCAGAGAGGUCGUGGGUUCGAUUCCCACCAGCGCCA
rnacentral:tRNA from 1 species